rnacentral:tRNA from 1 species
GAGCAAAAAUCCGUUGGCUUUAUUGACCGUGAGGGUUCAAGUCCC